CGGAGGGCGCGAGCGUUGUUCGGAAUUAUUGGGCGUAAAGCGCACGUAGGUGGCUUUGUAAGUCUCACUGUGAAAGCCCGGGGGCUCAACCCCGGGAGGCCAGGGGAUACUGCGAGGAUGGAGACAAGCAGAGGUGGGUAGAAUUCCGGGUGUAGCGGUGGAAUGCGUAGAGAUCCGGAGGAAUACCAGAGGCGAAGGCGGCCCACUGGGCUUGAUCUGACACUGAGGUGCGAAAGCGUGGGGAGCGAACAGGAUUAGAUACCCUGGUAGUCCACGCCGUAAACGAUGGGCACUAGAUGCCGGUGGGAUCGACCCCUUCGGUGUCGCAGCUAACGCAUUAAGUGCCCCGCCUGGGGAGUACGGCCGCAAGGCUG
rnacentral:rRNA from 1 species